AGCCUGAUCCAGCCAUGCCGCGUGAAGGAAUAAGGUCCUAUGGGUCGUAAACUUCUUUUGACGCAGAGCAAUAAGGAACACGUGUGUUCCGAUGAGAGUAUGCGUCGAAUAAGCAUCGGCUAACUCCGUGCCAGCAGCCGCGGUAAUACGGAGGAUGCGAGCGUUAUCCGGAUUUAUUGGGUUUAAAGGGUGCGUAGGCUGUUGGAUAAGUCAGCGGUGAAAUCACCACGCUUAACGUGUUGUGUGCCGUUGAAACUGUCCAGCUUGAAUGCGCUCGUCGUGAGAGGAAUGUGUGGUGUAGCGGUGAAAUGCAUAGAUAUCACACAGAACACCGAUUGCGAAGGCAUCUCACGAGAGCGUUAUUGACGCUGAUGCACGAAAGCGCGGGUAUCGAACAGGAUUAGAUACCCUGGUAGUCCGCGCUGUAAACGAUGAUGACUAACCGUUGGUCUGGUAUGGAUCAGUGGUCAAGCGAAAGCGUAAAGUCAUCCACCUGGGGGAGUACGGCCGCCAAGGCUGAAACUCAAAGGAAUUGACGGGGGCCCGCACAAGCGGAGGAACAUGUGGUUUAAUUCGAUGAUACGCGAAGAACCU
rnacentral:rRNA from 1 species